AACGAACGCUGGCGGCAUGCCUAAAACAUGCAAGUCGAACGCUCCGCAAGGGGAGUGGCGCACGGGAGAGUAACGCGUGGGAACCUACCUUAUAGUUCGGAAUAACACCGGGAAACUGGUGCUAAUACCGGAUACGCCCCAAGGGGGAAAGAUUUAUCGCUAUAAGAUGGGCCCGCGUUGGAUUAGCUAGUUGGUGGGGUAAUGGCCUACCAAGGCGACGAUCCAUAGCUGGUUUGAGAGAAUGAUCAGCCUCACUGGGACUGAGACACGGCCCAGACUCCUACGGGAGGCAGCAGUUGGGAAUAUUGGACAAUGGGGGAAACCCUGAUCCAGCAAUGCCGCGUGAGUGAUGAAGGCCUUCGGGUUGUAAAGCUCUUUUGGCGGGGACGAUGAUGUCGGUACCCGCAGAAUAAGCUCCGGCUAACUUCGUGCCAGCCGCCGCGGUAA
rnacentral:rRNA from 1 species